rnacentral:Y_RNA from 1 species
GGCUGAUCCAAAGGUAAUGAGUUAUCUCACUUGAUUGUUCACAGUCUGUUACAGAUUGAGCUCCUUGUUCUACUACUUUCCCCUCUUCUUACUACUGCACUUGACUAGUCUAAA